rnacentral:rRNA from 1 species
UACGUAGGGGGGCAAGCGUUGUCCGGAAUCAUUGGGCGUAAAGCGCGCGUAGGCGGCCCGGUAAGUCCGCUGUAAAAGUCCAGGGCUCAACCCUGGAAAGCCGGUGGAUACUGUCGGGCUAGAGUCCGGAAGAGGCGAGUGGAAUUCCUGGUGUAGCGGUGGAAUGCGCAGAUAUCAGGAGGAACACCGAUGGCGAAGGCAGCUCGCUGGGACGGUACUGACGCUGAGGCGCGAAGGCGUGGGGAGCGAACAGGG